rnacentral:tRNA from 1 species
CGAGGUGUAGCGCAGUCCGGUAGCGCACCUGCUUUGGGAGCAGGGGGUCCCAGGUUCAAAUCCUGGUACCUCGA